CGGCAGCAUGGAGGAGCUUGCUCCUCUGAUGGCGAGUGGCGAACGGGUGAGUAAAGCAUCGGAACGUGCCGUGUAGUGGGGGAUAACGUAGCGAAGGUUACGCUAAUACCGCAUACGCACCGAGGUGGAAAGCAGGGGAUCGCAAGACCUUGCGCUAUACGAGCGGCCGAUGUCAGAUUAGCUAGUUGGUAGGGUAAAGGCCUACCAAGGCGACGAUCUGUAGCGGGUCUGAGAGGAUGAUCCGCCACACUGGGACUGAGACACGGCCCAGACUCCUACGGGAGGCAGCAGUGGGGAAUUUUGGACAAUGGGGGAAACCCUGAUCCAGCCAUGCCGCGUGAGUGAAGAAGGCCUUCGGGUUGUAAAGCUCUUUCGGCUGGGAAGAAAUCGCACAGGCUAAUACUCUGUGUGGAUGACGGUACCAGCAUAAGAAGCACCGGCUAACUACGUGCCAGCAGCCGCGGUAAUACGUAGGGUGCGAGCGUUAAUCGGAAUUACUGGGCGUAAAGCGUGCGCAGGCGGUUGUGCAAGACAGAUGUGAAAUCCCCGGGCUCAACCUGGGAACUGCAUUUGUGACUGCACGACUAGAGUACGGCAGAGGGGGGUAGAAUUCCACGUGUAGCAGUGAAAUGCGUAGAGAUGUGGAGGAAUACCGAUGGCGAAGGCAGCCCCCUGGGCCGAUACUGACGCUCAUG
rnacentral:rRNA from 1 species